rnacentral:rRNA from 1 species
AUUGAACGCUGGCGGCAGGCCUAACACAUGCAAGUCGAGCGGAUGCAGGGAGCUUGCUCCUGGUUUCAGCGGCGGACGGGUGGGUAAUGCCUAGGAAUCUGCCUGGUAGUGGGGGCUAACGUCCGGAAACGGGCGCUAAUACCGCAUACGUCCUGAGGGAGAAAGGGGGGGAUCUUCGGACCUCCCGCUAUCAGAUGAUCCUAGGUCGGAUUAGCUAGUUGGUGGGGUAAAGGCCUACCAAGGCGACGAUCCGUAACUGGUCUGAGAGGAUGAUCAGUCACACUGGAACUGAGACACGGUCCAGACUCCUACGGGAGGCAGCAGUGGGGAAUAUUGGACAAUGGGCGAAAGCCUGAUCCAGCCAUGCCGCGUGUGUGAAGAAGGUCUUCGGAUUGUAAAGCACUUUUAGUUGGGAGGAAGGGCAGUAAGUUAAUACCUUGCUGUUUUGACGUUACCAACAGAAUAAGCACCGGCUAACUUCGUG